rnacentral:rRNA from 1 species
GCUUGUCUCAAAGAUUAAGCCAUGCAUGUCUUAGUGUAAAUAACUCUUAUGAAACUGCGAAUGGCUCAUUAAAUCAGUUAUCAAAUACGUGAUGGUCGCCUACUACAUGGAUAACCGUAGUAAUUCUAGAGCUAAUACAUGCACAAAGGCCCACUCACGUGGGUUGUGAUUAUUAGAUAAAAAACCAACCCUUCGGGUUUCUUGGUGAUUCAUAAUAACUUAUCGGAGCUCAUGGCCUUGUGCCGGAGCCAGGUCAUUCAAAUUUCUGCCCUAUCAGCUUUCGAUGGUAGUGUAGUGGACUACCAUGGCUUUAACGGGUGACGGAGAAUUAGGGUUCGAUUCCGGAGAGGGAGCCUGAGAAACGGCUACCACAUCCAAGGAAGGCAGCAGG